UACAGAGGGGGCAAGCGUUGUUCGGAAUUACUGGGCGUAAAGGGCGCGUAGGCGGCCUUCUAAGUCGAACGUGAAAUCCCCGGGCUCAACCCGGGAACUGCGUCCGAGACUGAAAGGCUCGAAUCCGGGAGAGGGAUGUGGAAUUCCAGGUGUAGCGGUGAAAUGCGUAGAUAUCUGGAGGAACACCGGUGGCGAAGGCGGCGACCUGGGUCGAGACUGACGCUGAGGCGCGAAAGCGUGGGGAGCAAACAGG
rnacentral:rRNA from 1 species